rnacentral:rRNA from 1 species
AGCAGUGGGGAAUCUUCCGCAAUGGGCGAAAGCCUGACGGAGCAACGCCGCGUGAGUGAAGACGGCCUUCGGGUUGUAAAGCUCUGUUAUAUGGGACGAACGGGUGUAUGGUCAAUACCCAUACGCCGUGACGGUACCGUAAGAGAAAGCCACGGCUAACUACGUGCCAGCAGCCGCGGUAAUACGUAGGUGGCAAGCGUUGUCCGGAAUCAUUGGGCGUAAAGGGCGCGCAGGCGGUUCGGUAAGUCGGUCUUAAAAGUGCGGGGCUUAACCCCGUGAUGGGAUUGAAACUGCCGGACUGGAGUGUCGGAGAGGAAAGCAGAAUUCCUAGUGUAGCGGUGAAAUGCGUAGAUAUUAGGAGGAAUACCAGUGGCGAAAGCGGCUUUCUGGACGACAACUGACGCUGAGGCGCGAAAGCCAGGGGAGCAAACGGGAUUAGAUACCCCGGUAGUCCUGGCCGUAAACGAUGGAUACUAGGUGUAGGAGGUAUCGACCCCUUCUGUGCCGGAGUUAACGCAAUAA